CAUGCAGUCGAGCGAAUGAGGGGAGCUUGCUCCCUGAUUUAGCGGCGGACGGGUGAGUAAUGUAUAGGGAGCUGCCCGACAGAGGGGGAUACCAGUUGGAAACGACUGUUAAUACCGCAUAAUGUCUACGGACCAAAGUGUGGGACCUUCGGGCCACAUGCUGUCGGAUGCACCUAUAUGGGAUUAGCUAGUUGGUGGGGUAAUGGCUCACCAAGGCGACGAUCCCUAGCUGGUUUGAGAGGAUGAUCAGCCACACUGGAACUGAGACACGGUCCAGACUCCUACGGGAGGCAGCAGUGGGGAAUAUUGGACAAUGGGCGCAAGCCUGAUCCAGCCAUGCCGCGUGUGUGAAGAAGGCCUUCGGGUUGUAAAGCACUUUCAGCGAGGAGGAAGGGUGUUGUGUUAAUAGCGCAGCAUUUUGACGUUACUCGCAGAAGAA
rnacentral:rRNA from 1 species